ensembl:snRNA U1 U1 spliceosomal RNA
CCUCAUACCUGACAGGGGAGAUAGCAUGAUCAUGAAGGUGGUUUUCCCAGGCUGAGGCAUAUCCACCACACUCUGGAUGUGCUGACCCCUGCGAUUUCCCCAAAUGUGGGAAACUCAACUGCAUAAUUUGUGGUAGUGGGGGACUGCGUUCUUGCUCUACUCUG